UGAGGUUAGACCCCUCAGACUCCUUACUUUCAAAGGAUCAA
rnacentral:tRNA from 1 species